GUGCUGGCAGUUGCCAUGGAAACCCCUGGCAGGCACUGAUGGCACAGACACUGGCACUCAGACACUGCUGGGCCGGGUGCUGAGCACAGGGCUGAGCACACAGAGAUGGUUUUGUUCUUGCUGAGCUCCCACUGAGCCAAGCCCUGUCCUGCCCCUCAUCCGGCCACCCUGGGGAGGGGCUGGGGCUGUGGGGAGGUUGGGAGGGGACACAGCCAGGACAGGUGACCCGAGCUGAGCCCGGGGAUACCCCAGACCAUCGGACAUCCUGCUCAGUGUAUAAAGUGGGGGAACAAGGAGGAAGGGGGGACAUUUGGAGUGAGGGUUUUUGUCUUCCCAGGUAACACUUGACAGGAUGGGGCAAUGUUUCACCAGAGGGCAGGGUCAGCACCAAAGACACAGACACCAACCUAAGAAAUUGUGUCAUUUAUAUCAUGCAAAACAGCAAAGAAUCACAAAAGGAUAAGCUCAGCAAAGCACAUUGUCAUUAGCAAAGUAUUCCAAAAGGAGCAGCUCAGCAAUGCACCCAACCAUCACUACUCAAGAUUGCCUGCAGUGAUUAAGAAAGAUCCAGCACCAGUUGCCCUCAGGCUUUGCCAUCCCCCAGAUCCAACCUCCCUGUGAGAGGGCCCAGCUUUUACACUGUUAAACAAACAAGCUGACAUCA